GACGAACGCUGGCGGCGUGCUUAACACAUGCAAGUCGAACGAUGAAGCCGGAGCUUGCUCUGGUGAAUUAGUGGCGAACGGGUGAGUAACACGUGAGUAACCUGCCCUUGACUCUGGGAUAACUGCGGGAAACUGUAGCUAAUACCGGAUACGACCCUCGGAGGCAUCUCCUGGUGGUGGAAAGAAUUUCGGUCAAGGAUGGACUGGCGGCCUAUCAGCUAGUUGGUGAGGUAAAGGCUCACCAAGGCGACGACGGGUAGCCGGCCUGAGAGGGUGGCCGGCCACACUGGGAUGGAGACACUGCCCAGACUCAUACGGGAGGCAGCAGUGGGGAAUAUUGCACAAUGGGCGCAAGCCUGAUGCAGCAACGCCGCGUGAGGGAUGACGGCCUUCGGGUUGUAAACCUCUUUUAGCAGGGAAGAAGCGAAAGUGACGGUACCUGCAGAAAAAGCACCGGCUAACUACGUGCCAGCCGCCGCCGUAA
rnacentral:rRNA from 1 species